GUCCACGUCGCUGGCCGCCUCUUCGUGAGUCCACGCCGCUGGCCACCUCUCUGCGAGUCCCCUCCAUCGAUAGCCUCCUGCAACAUCCGCUCCAGCAAGUAGGGCGACACUGCCUCCACGACGCAGGCACAUCUUGGGUUUCAUGGCAACAUGUUGUUGGAGCCCUUCGUGUUGACGCGAGGUCUAUCUACAAACAGAGGUGGGCACCAACCUUCGGAUCCUAAUGGAUAACUAUCUAUACCAUCUUCAUAAGGUUAUUAGCUAAAGGUCCAUGACAUUUUUGCAGCUGCUCAUGCCCAUAUCUAUCUCAGGUGUGAACUAAUAUCUCAGCAAUU